rnacentral:rRNA from 1 species
UAACACGUGGGUANCCUGCCCAAGAGACUGGGAUAACACCUGGAAACAGAUGCUAAUACCGGAUAACAACACUAGACGCAUGUCUAGAGUUUGAAAGAUGGUUCUGCUAUCACUCUUGGAUGGACCUGCGGUGCAUUAGCUAGUUGGUAAGGUAACGGCUUACCAAGGCAAUGAUGCAUAGCCGAGUUGAGAGACUGAUCGGCCACAUUGGGACUGAGACACGGCCCAAACUCCUACGGGAGGCAGCAGUAGGGAAUCUUCCACAAUGGACGAAAGUCUGAUGGAGCAACGCCGCGUGAGUGAAGAAGGGUUUCGGCUCGUAAAGCUCUGUUGGUAGUGAAGAAAGAUAGAGGUAGUAACUGGCCUUUAUUUGACGGUAAUUACUUAGAAAGUCACGGCUAACUACGUGCCAGCAGCCGCGGUAAUACGUAGGUGGCAAGCGUUGUCCGGAUUUAUUGGGCGUAAAGCGAGUGCAGGCGGUUCAAUAAGUCUGAUGUGAAAGCCUUCGGCUCAACCGGAGAAUUGCAUCAGAAACUGUUGAACUUGAGUGCAGAAGAGGAGAGUGGAACUCCAUGUGUAGCGGUGGAAUGCGUAGAUAUAUGGAAGAACACCAGUGGCGAAGGCGGCUCUCUGGUCUGCAACUGACGCUGAGGCUCGAAAGCAUGGGUAGCGAACAGGAUUAGAUACCCUGGUAGUCCAU